GACUAAUGCUAGCGGCGUGCCUAACACAUGCAAGUCGAACGGUCAAUUAGGUGAAAGGUAGAAGCUGAAAGUUAAAAGUUUCUUUUUAGCUUUUAGUUUUCAAAUUUUACCUGAUUGAUAGUGGCGGACGAGUGAGUAAUGCAUGGAUGACCUACUCUCAGGAGGAGGACAACCUGCCGAAAGGCGGGCUAAUACUCCAUAAGAUCACUGUGAUGAAAAUCGGAGUGAUGAAAGUUUCGAUAAACUCGGAACGCUUGAGAACGGGUUCAUGUUCUAUUAGCUAGUUGGUGCGGUAAUGGCGCACCAAGGCGAAGAUGGAUAGCCGGCUUGAGAGAGUGUACGGCCACACUGGGAUUGAGAAACGACCCAGACUCCUACGGGAGGCAGCAGUGAGGAAUUUUCCGCAAUGCCCGAAAGGGUGACGGAGCGACGCCGCGUGGGUGAUGAAGGCCUUCGGGUUGUAAAGCCCUUUUAUAAAGGACGAUAAUGACGGUACUUUGGGAAUAAGCAUCGGCUAACUCUGUGCCAGCAGCCGCGGUAAGACAGAGGAUGCAAGCAUUGUCCGGAAUUACUGGGUGUAAAAUGUGUGUAGGUGGUUAAAUAAGUCAAAUGUGAAAUCUCGAUGCUUAACAUCGAAAUUGCAUUUGAUACUGUUUGACUUGAGUUCUGGCGAGGAAAGUGGAAUUCCCGGUGGAGCGGUGAAAUGCGUUGAUAUCGGGAGGAACACCGAUGGCGAAGGCAACUUUCUAUCCUGAAACUGACACUGAGACACGAAAGCUAGGGGAGCAAACAGGAUUAGAUACCCUGGUAGUCCUAGCCGUAAACGAUGGAUACUGGGUGUGGGUUCUUUAUGAACCUGUGCCGAAGUUAACGCGUUAAGUAUCCUACCUGGGGAGUACAGUCGCAAGACCGAAACUCAAAGGAAUUGACGGGGGCUCGCACAAGCGGUGGAACACGUGGUUUAAUUCGAUGCAAAGCGAAGAACCUUACCGGGGUUUGACAUGCUGAUAGUACAAUCCUGAAAAGGGGAGGACUCCGAUUUAUCGGAGAGUCAGCACAGGUGCUGCAUGGCUGUCGUCAGCUCGUGUCGUGAGAUAUUGGGUUAAGUCCCGUAACGAGCGCAACCCCUAUCCUUAGUUGUCCGCCAUUAAUAUUGGCGGAUUCUCUAAGGAAACUGCCUCAGAUAAUGGGGAGGAAGGUGGGGAUGACGUCAAGUCCUCAUGGCCCUUAUGUCCCGGGCUACACACGUGUUACAAUAAAGCCGACAGAGAGUUGCAAGACCGUGAGGUGGAGCCAAUCUCUAAACGGCUUUUCAGUUCGGAUUGGAGGCUGAAACUUGUCUCCAUGAAGUAGGAAUCGCUAGUAAUCGCGGAUCAGCAGGCCGCGGUGAAUACGUUCCCGAGCCUUGUACACACCGCCCGUCACACCAUGAGAGCUGGGGAUACCUGAACUCUGAUGUUAUAUCGGAAGAGGGUAAAACCAGUGAUUGGGGUG
rnacentral:rRNA from 1 species